GAUUAACGCUGGCGGCGUGCAUAGCACAUGCAAGUCGAACGAUGAAACUCAUUAGAUUUCUUCGGAAUGAAGAUGAAUGGAUUAGUGGCGAACGGGUGAGUAACGCGUGAGUAACCUGCCUUACACAAGGGGAUAGCCUCUGGAAACGGAGAAUAAUACCCUAUGAAACCAGACAAUCGCAUGAUAAUCUGGUCAAAAUGUUUAGUGGUGUAAGAUGGACUUGCGUCUGAUUAGCUAGUUGGUGAGAUAAAAGCUCACCAAGGCAACGAUCAGUAGCCGGCUUGAGAGAGUGUACGGCCACAUUGGGACUGAGGCACGGCCCAGACCCCUACGGGAGGCAGCAGUGGGGAAUUUUGCACAAUGGGGGAAACCCUGAUGCAGCGACGCCGCGUGAUUUAGAAGGCCUUCGGGUUGUAAAAAUCUUUUGUAUAGGAAGAAAAUGACAGGACUAUACGAAUAAGGUCCGGCUAAUUACGU
rnacentral:rRNA from 1 species